rnacentral:rRNA from 1 species
UACGUAGGGUGCGAGCGUUAAUCGGAAUUACUGGGCGUAAAGCGUGCGCAGGCGGUUCGUUGUGUCGGUGGUGAAAUCCCCGGGCUUAACCUGGGAAUGGCCAUGGAAACUGGCGAACUGGAGUGCGGCAGAGGGGGGUGGAAUUCCGCGUGUAGCAGUGAAAUGCGUAGAGAUGCGGAGGAAUACCGAUGGCGAAGGCAGCCCCCUGGGUCGACACUGACGCUCAGGCACGAAAGCGUGGGGAGCAAACAGG